rnacentral:lncRNA from 12 species
GUUUGGGAUGGGUUUGGGGUGUUUGGGAUGGGUUUGGGAUGGAUUGGGAUGGACUGGGAUGGGUUUGGAAUGUUUGGGAUGGAUUAGGAUGGAUUUGGGAUGGGUUUGGGAUGAGUUUGGAAUGGACUGGGAUGGGUUUAGGGUGGGGUUGGGAUGUGUUUGGGGUUUUUGGGAUGUGUUUGGGAUGGGGUUGGGAUGGAUUUGGGAUGGGUUUGGGAUGGAUUGGGAUGGGUUUAGGAUGGGUUUGGAGUGUUUGGGAUGGGUUUGGGAUGGAUUUGGGGUGUUUGGGAUGGAUUGGGAUGGAUUGGGAUGGGUUUGGGAUGGACUGGGAUGGGUUUGUGGUGUUAGGGAUGGGUUUGGGGUGUUAGGGAUGGUUUGGGAUGGACUGGGAUGGGUUUGGGGUGUUUGGGACGGGUUUGGGGUGUUAGGGAUGGUUUGGGAGCACCAAGCACAAGGUGCUGGAGCUGGGCUUCAAGGGCCGGGCGCUGCACGACAAGGCCUCAGCAGAAGCCUGCUGCGAGCUGUGCGGGCUGUACUUCGAGAACAGGAAGGCGCUGGCCAGCCUCACCUGGGCUCACCUGGGAUCACCUGGGCUCACCUGGGCUCACCUGGGGCAGUUCAGCACUGCCCAUAGCCCAUUUUUACCCCAUUUUCAAUACAA